rnacentral:rRNA from 1 species
GAUGAACGCUGACAGAAUGCUUAACACAUGCAAGUCUUUGGCGAAGCUGUGCUCGCACAGCCUAGCCAAGGCGGACGGGUGAGUAACGCGUAAGGAACUUGCCCUGCAGUCAGGGAUAACAGACGGAAACGACUGAUAAGACCUGGUAAAGUCAGGCGGACUCAUGUCCAGCCUGAUGAAAAGAGAUGCUGCAGGAGAGCCUUGCGUCCUAUUAGCUUGUUGGUGGGGUAACGGCCCACCAAGGCGAUGAUAGGUAGCCGGCCUGAGAGGGUGGACGGCCACAAGGGGACUGAGAUACGGCCCUUACUCCUACGGGAGGCAGCAGUGGGGAAUAUUGGACAAUGGGGGCAACCCUGAUCCAGCAAUUCUGCGUGCACGAUGAAGGUUUUCGGAUUGUAAAGUGCUUUCAGCAGGGAAGAAAAAAAUGACGGUACCUGCAGAAGAAGCGACGGCUAAAUACGU